AGAUUGGCUUUGACGUUAUAAUGGAAGGAGCCCCGUCAGUAGGGAUAAGUUUAGAAACCAUCCGAGAAUAGCUCCCAGUCACACAUCAUUACUUGUACAUGGAUGGCCCUUUGUUUGAAACGCAGUUGUAAGAUGCUAAAAUUAAGGUGCUGACGGAUGAUGACUAUAUAAAACGGUUUGAAGAUGGUGUAAUGUUUUCAGUUGUUAACGAUCUUAAGCGGCAGCGCCUACCAGAAAGGAUUCUUUAUUUUCAAACUAUAAGUCACAGGAACUUUAACUAAACGAAAGGAAAAUGUCACUUAACACCUUCAUCCUGGCCCUUUUCCUGACCGUCGUCAUUCUCGGUGCGUCGACGACGUCAGCGAUCACCGACCCCGAGAGGGACGCUGACUGGGGCUGGUAUAAUCGCGGAAUGGGAGUGAGGUUCAUUGACGAUCUCGCAAAGCGGGGCAACGGACUAGGCAGUGGACGAUACGUUAGAUGUAUCAAGAAGGGCACUGAUCAACGUUGUUUUUGUGAUAUGGUGAGGAGUCCGAGAGAUCCGGGAUAUUACGUUGCCUGCUCUAAAUUCUCUCUAGAUCCAGAGGAAGAGUGAUUCUCAAUUUUACCGCAGUAAUAAAUCGCUAAUAAAUCCAUAAAAACAUUGUUUGGAUUGUUACGAAAUGGUCCGAGAUGGACAUGAACGUUGGUGGCGCUUUUCAUCAAAAUUCUCCCACGGAAAAAAAAGAAGUUGCGACACGCCUUGGGACGAAUUGACGGUCGAAUGGAUGAUGUUUGGACGAGCAAGAAUGCGUUGUAUUGUGGUUUGUUUUAUAUUUGUUUGUCUGUUUUGUUUUUUGUUAUUUCUUGUAUGGUAUUUGUCUUGUGACCAAGCGUUAUUUCAGAAAAAAAAAGCUCGAGGUUUCGUUUGAUAACGCUGAUAAUACUUGAGUUUGCGGCUUUUUAUAAAUUAUUGUUGAGUGCGCUUUACAAGAUCCCACUUUCCAUGGUAAAACAAUCACACCACAACUCAUAUUCAUUGGAAUUACUUAUUUGGUACAUUUUUUCUAACUAUUUAUGAAAUGUUCUAGUUCCUCUAAGUGAGUAUAAAUGACAAAUAUGUAUCUUGGUUGACGGUCGAUUGGAGGAUGUUUAGACAAGCAAGCAUGCGUUGUUUUGUGGUUUGUUUUAUAAUUUUGUGUUUGCCUGCUUCAUGUUUGAAAAUUUCUUGUAUGGUACUUGUCUUGUGACCAAGCGUUAUUUCUGAAAAAAAAGCUCGAGGUUUCUUUUGAUAGAACUGAUAAUACUUGAAUUUGCGAUUUAUUUACAUUGUUCGUUUUUUGUGGUCUAACAAUAACACCAUAACUAAAAUUUACUCAAAAUAUUAGUUAGGCCAUUUUGUGAUUCCGCUAAGUAAGUGGAAAAUGGGCAUGUGACUAAAAUAACUAUUUAAUGUAUAGACAUGAUAUAGGAAAAGAAAACUUAUAUACAUGCAAAGGUCCGUGAUUCGAAUCAAGGUCGAACAAGACAGGUGUGAUGUUGAAUGAUUUUGAUGAUAGUAAAGGUUGAUUCUCAAACCAUUAUUUGUUACAUUCUGUUUAUAACGUUGCAGAUAUGACCACUCAGCGUUGAGCCAACAAUUAAUCGUUGAGCAAUAUUACUAUAUAUAUUCAAUCAAAAUGUUCAUUUCGACUUCAAGGAGCAAAGUGGUUAUACAAUAGAAUGUAGUCAAUUGUUGUGUUUUUUUUGCUAUUUGGCGUAGAUAUAAAAGACUUAUUUUAAUCAUCGCUCAUUAAUUACUGUGUUAAAAAGAUUGUUUACAUCGCACUUGCUAUUCAUUGUUUGUGUUUCAAUGAUCAAACUCAUUUAGUUAUAAUUAUUAUUUGUCUUCAAUUACUUAACGAAACUGUUAAAGUGUGUUUUUAUUUCGUCUUUUUUCAAAUACUAUCAUAUCAUUUUUGUCUUUCAUACGUACAUGUUUAUUGAUUUAUUUUGUUCUAUUUAAUAUUGUUGCGAGAUAAUUGUUAUUGUUUUUUUUACGUGAUGCUAUUGAUAAGUUUUAGUUUAAAAACUCUACAAUCAUUAUUUUUAUUUGAUAUUGGCGAAUAUUUUAAUGGAAAUGUUCAAGCUUAUCAGUUUAUUGGCCUGUGUAUCUGUUAAUAAUUUUUCAUGUUUGUGAACUUUUAUUGAUUUUGAUUUACUUUAUUUUACUGCUUUAUUUUGUGUAUUUUAUCUAUAUAUUUAUAUAUUUCCUUAAUAGAAUUCUUGCUCAUUCUACACUAAUGGUUUUGAUCAUUGAGAUAUAAUAAAUUCAAGAAAUUUUAAGCAUUAGUUCAAACAGAAUCAAUCGAAUAACGGUUUGUGGAAAAUACGAACUUUUAACUUUGCACUUAAUAAAAGGAAUUCUUUGUUUUUCAAAUAUUCUUUAAUCCAUCAACAUUAUUGGGAUUCAUGCAGGGUAGGGGGUCGCGGGGGGGGGGCAGCGGAGAGUAGCAGCCCCAUAUGAUCUUUGUAGUCGUCAAAAAAGGAAAAGGGUUAAAUCGGGAAGAAAAUAUACGAGACAGAAGAGUGUCAAAAAGAGGUGUCCCUCCUGUCAUUAAAAAAAAAACUGACUGGCUUCCCCUAUUGAUAAACCAUGAUGCCGUUACUGGAUCCAUUUUAAGGUUUCAUGUACUCGCCCUUUAUGUGAAAGCUUCGCAUUUCAUCGUUAGAUUAUUACUAGUAUGAAUUGUAUUUCAAUAUCAGGCUUGUUCUUCUUAGCAUAUUAUAUAUUUAUUUAAAACAAUACAUAAUUGUAAUGGAAUUAAGUGUAUAAAUUAUUUUUGUAACUUUGAUAACGAUUUCAUGAUUUUUUUGUUUGUUUGGUGGUAUUUCCCCAGGAUUUGAGGUGUACGUCUAAUGUUAUGUUGUUUUUAAUAUUAAAAAUGAUGUUCCAAAUUGA